rnacentral:rRNA from 1 species
CCUACGGGAGGCAGCAGUGGGGAAUAUUGCGCAAUGGACGCAAGUCUGAUGCAGCAACGCCGCGUGAAGGAAGAAGGCUUUCGGGUCGUAAACUUCUAUCAACGGGGACGAGCAGAAUACCGUUCCCUUUGUAUAACCCACGGCCAACCAAGUUCCAGCAGCCGCGGUAAUACGGAGGGGGCAAGCGUUUUUCGGAAUUACUGGGUGUAAAGGGUGAGCAGGCGGAAAGAGAAGUCAGAUGUGAAAGCCACGGGCUUAACCCGUGAACUGCAUUUGAAACUAUUAACCUAGAGUGUAGGAGAGGAAAGCGGAAUUCCUAGUGUAGCGGUGAAAUGCGUAGAUAUAAGGAAGAACACCAGUGGCGAAGGCGGAUUGCUGGACUGUAACUGACGGUGAGGCACGAAAGCGUGGGGAGCGAACAGGAUUAGAUACCCUUGUAGUC